rnacentral:rRNA from 1 species
AAUUUUCGGCAAUGUGCGCAAGCCUGACCGGGCAACGCCGCGUGAUGGAAGAAGGCCUUCGGGUCGUAAUCUUUUGUCUUAGGGGACGAUAAUGAUGGUAUCCAAGGAGGAAGUCCCGGCUAACUACGUAUCAGCAGCCGCGGUAAUACGUAGGGGGCGAGCGUUGUUCGGAAUUACUUGGCGUAAAGCGCGCGUAGGCGGCCUGAUAAGUCAGAUGUGAAAUCCCAAGGCUUAACCGUGGGUUUGCAUUUGAAACUGUUAGGCUUGAGGGCAGGAGAGGAAAGCGGAAUUCCCAGUGUAGCGAUGAAAUGCGUAGAUAUUGAGAGGAACACCAGUGGCGAAAGCGGCUUUCUGGACUACACCUGACGCUGAAGCGCGAAAGCUAGGGGAGCGAAC